rnacentral:ncRNA from 1 species
GGAGCUGAAGCCAGUCGCAGAUACCAGCUGGCUGCAACUGUUUAAUAAAAACACAGCACUGUGCAAACACGAAAGUGGACGUAUACGGUGUGACGCCUGCCCGGUGCCGGAAGGUUAAUUGAUGGGGUUAUCCGUAAGGAGAAGCUCUUGAUCGAAGCCCCGGUAAACGGCGGCCGUAACUAUAACGGUCCUAAGGUAGCGAAAUUCCUUGUCGGGUAAGUUCCGACCUGCACGAAUGGCGUAAUGAUGGCCAGGCUGUCUCCACCCGAGACUCAGUGAAAUUGAACUCGCUGUGAAGAUGCAGUGUACCCGCGGCAAGACGGAAAGACCCCGUGAACCUUUACUAUAGCUUGACACUGAACCUUGAGCCUUGAUGUGUAGGAUAGGUGGGAGGCUGAGAAGUGCGGACGCCAGUCUGCACGGAGCCAACCUUGAAAUACCACCCUUGAAUGUUUGAUGUUCUAACGCAGGCCCGUUACCCGGGUCGCGGACAGUGUCUGGUGGGUAGUUUGACUGGGGCGGUCUCCUCCCAAAGCGUAACGGAGGAGCACGAAGGUUAGCUAAUCACGGUCGGACAUCGUGAGGUUAGUGCAAAGGCAUAAGCUAGCUUGACUGCGAGAGUGACAGCUCGAGCAGGUACGAAAGUAGGUCUUAGUGAUCCGGUGGUUCUGAAUGGAAGGGCCAUCGCUCAACGGAUAAAAGGUACUCCGGGGAUAACAGGCUGAUACCGCCCAAGAGUUCAUAUCGACGGCGGUGUUUGGCACCUCGAUGUCGGCUCAUCACAUCCUGGGGCUGAAGUAGGUCCCAAGGGUACGGCUGUUCGCCGUUUAAAGUGGUACGCGAGCUGGGUUUAGAACGUCGUGAGACAGUUCGGUCCCUAUCUGCCGUGGGCGUUGGAAGAUUGAAAGGGGCUGCUCCUAGUACGAGAGGACCGGAGUGGACGCACCACUGGUGUUCGGGUUGUCAUGCCAAUGGCACUGCCCGGUAGCUAAGUGCGGAAGAGAUAACCGCUGAAAGCAUCUAAGCGGGAAACUUGCCUUGAGAUGAGUCUUCCCUUACCCCGUGAGGGUACUGAAGGAGCGUUCGAGACGAGGACGUAGAUAGGCUGGGUGUGUAAGCGUUGCGAGACGUUGAGCUAACCAGUACUAAUGGACCGUGAGGCUUAACCUG